AUAUUGAAUUCAUCAACCCUAGAGAAGCGGAAGGGGGCAAGGAAACUCUCGCUCGCAUCCUCCAUAUCCACUACGAGAGAAGGGGUUUCUUGGGCUCAUCUCUCUCUCAAAAGGGUGUCGCUGGUUUUGGGCUGAAUUCUCACUCUCUCUCCGCAGAAUUCUGGUGAACGGAGGACACAAAUCCGGUGAGUACUUCGACCGACGACCUCUGCUGCUGCUCUGUUUUGUUGCCAUGGCCGAGGAAGCAGGUAUGUUCAUGGUCCAUCAAACCGUUGGUAGUGUACUAUGUUGCAAGUGUGGUAUUCCAAUGGCACCGAAUGCUGCCAAUAUGUGCGUGAAGUGCUUGCGUUCUGAAGUUGACAUCACAGAAGGUUUACAGAAGCAUGUUAUUAUCAUACAUUGCCCCGAGUGUGAUACCUACUUGCAGCCACCGAGAACAUGGAUUAAAGCCCAACUAGAAUCAAAGGAGCUCUUGACAUUCUGUGUGAAAAGAUUGAAGAACUUGAAUACAGUACGGUUGGUACAUGCUGAAUUUAUUUGGACUGAACCUCACUCCAAGAGGAUUAAAGUCAAGCUGAGAGUUCAGAAGGAGGUCCUCAAUGGAGCGAUACUGGAACAAUCUUAUACUGUUGAGUAUGUUGUGCAAGAACAAAUGUGUGAGUCUUGUUCUCGGGUUCAGGCUAACCCUGACCAGUGGGUGGCUGCUGUGCAACUGCGGCAGCAUGUUUCACACAGGAGAACUUUCUUCUUUUUGGAGCAGCUCAUUCUUAAGCAUGAUGCUGCUGUCCGAGCCAUAAGAAUUAAGCAGAUGGAUCAGGGAAUUGAUUUCUUUUUUGGAAAUCGCAGUCAUGCUGUGAAGUUUGUGGAGUUUGUGGGCAAAGUUGCUCCAAUUAAGAGUCGUCACGAUAAACAACUUGUGUCUCAUGAUUCGAAGAGCAAUAAUUACAAUUAUAAGUACACUUUCUCUGUUGAAAUCUGCCCAAUUUGCCGCGAGGAUCUGAUCUGUCUCCCAUCGAAAGUUGCUGUUAGUUUGGGAAAUCUUGGUCCGCUUGUGAUUUGUACGAAAAUCAGCAACAACAUUGCUUUACUGGACCCUUUUACCCUGAGGCACUGUUUUUUGGAUGCUGAUCAGUAUUGGCGAUCAUCCUUCAAGUCCCUACUUUCUAGUAGGCAGCUUGUGGAAUAUAUUGUAUUGGAUGUGGAGACUAUUUCUUCUGAAGUUAAUGUUGGUGGAUCUAAGUAUGUUUUGGCUGAUGCCCAAGUUGCUCGUGUAUCGGAUUUUGGGAAAAAUGAUACAAUCUUCUCUGUGAGAACACAUUUGGGCCAUCUUUUAAACCCUGGGGAUUAUGCUCUUGGUUAUGACUUGUAUCGAGCUAAUAGUAACGAUAUUGAAUUGGACAAGUAUAAAGGUCUUGUCAUCCCAGAUGUUAUUUUGAUGAAAAAGAGCUAUGAAGAGAAGCGCCAGAAGAAGCGUGGGAAGCCUCGUGCGUGGAAGCUUAAAUCUCUUAACAUGGAAGUUGAUGAUACUACUAGAGGUAGAGUUGAUGAGGAGAAGAUGAAUUCAGAGUAUGAACAAUUCUUGAGAGAUUUGGAAGAGAAUCCUGAUAUGAGGUUUAAUAUGUCUAUAUAUCGUAAUAAAGAGUACCAACCAUCGGAAAUGGCUUCAGUGACGGAUGGGGAGGAUCUGCCUUCUGUGCCUUUAGAAGAGUUGCUUGCUGAUCUUGAUUUGAGUGAUGAAGAAGAUGGGGAAGAUAGCAUGAGGGAAUGAACUGAAGUUUGUGGUGGUUUGAGUUGCUUCUUAGCCUUAUCACAGGUGUAUGUCGGUUACUUGUGACAGUAGACUGAAAUGCUCAUGGUACAAGGCUUCAGCACAUCAAUGUUUAGUAGAUGUCGCAUUGAAGUCAUCUUGGAGAUAUGAAAGAAGUUGUUAAGAGUUUAAAUGGUGGAAUUCUCAGGGUUUUGGUUUGAAAUCUUCAUGGCUGGUCUUGAGUUUGAUUUUGUUUUUGUUUUAUUUUUUUUCCAAGGACUGGUUUGAUUGUUUUCAUGUUUUCUUCCUAAUCAUUUUAUGGUUUUUUUAAUACAUGUUCCCAAAUGGUCUCUCUACA